UACGAACUGUGCGAACGUUAUUCGGAAUCACUGGGCUUACAGGGUGCGUAGGCGGCUUGUUAAGUAGGGUGUGAAAGCCCCCGGCUCAACCGGGGAAUUGCGCCCUAAACUGGCGAGCUGGAGUGAGAUAGGGGUGUGUGGAACUUCCGGUGGAGCGGUGAAAUGUGUUGAUAUCGGAAGGAACGCCGGUGGCGAAAGCGACACACUGGAUCUUGUCUGACGCUGAGGCACGAAAGCUAGGGGAGCAAACAGG
rnacentral:rRNA from 1 species